CGGGGCGUAGCUCAGUCUGGUGGAGUGCUCGAUUUGGGGUCGAGAGGUCGCCGGUUCGAAUCCGGCCGCCCCGA
rnacentral:tRNA from 1 species